GACAGAGGGUGCAAACGUUUGUUCGGAAUUACUGGGCGUAAAGCGCGUGUAGGCGGCUAUGUAAGUCGGGCGUGAAAUCCCACGGCUCAACCGUGGAAGUGCACCCGAAACUGCGUAGCUAGAGUCCUGGAGAGGAAGGUGGAAUGCUUGGUGUAGAGGUGAAAUUCGUAGAUAUCAAGCGGAACACCGGUGGCGAAGGCGGCCUUCUGGACAGUGACUGACGCUGAGACGGCGAAAGCGUGGGGAGCAAACAGG
rnacentral:rRNA from 1 species